UAGACCUGAGGUCAGGCAAGACCACCCGCUGAACUUAAGCAUAUCA
rnacentral:rRNA from 6 species